AGUGAACGCUGGCGGUAGGCCUAACACAUGCAAGUCGAACGGCAGCACAGUAAGAGCUUGCUCUUACGGGUGGCGAGAGGCGGACGGGUGAGGAAUACAUCGGAAUCUACUUUUUCGUGGGGGAUAACGUAGGGAAACUUACGCUAAUACCGCAUACGACCUACGGGUGAAAGCAGGGGAUCUUCGGACCUUGCGCGAUUGAAUGAGCCGAUGUCGGAUUAGCUAGUUGGCGGGGUAAAGGCCCACCAAGGCGACGAUCCGUAGCUGGUCUGAGAGGAUGAUCAGCCACACUGGAACUGAGACACGGUCCAGACUCCUACGGGAGGCAGCAGUGGGGAAUAUUGGACAGUGGGCGCAAGCCUGAUCCAGCCAUACCGCGUGGGUGAAGAAGGCCUUCGGGUUGUAAAGCCCUUUUGUUGGGAAAGAAAAGCAGCAGGUUAAUACCCCGCUGUUCUGACGGUACCCAAAGAAUAAGCACCGGCUAACUUCGUG
rnacentral:rRNA from 1 species